UCAGCAUGCCCCCACCCCAGCCACCCACCUUCUGGAGACCCCUAAGUGGAUUUUCACACAGAAAGGAUGUUGGCAUCCCCAGUGAUCCAGGAGACAUGGCUGGGUCCACCCUUAA
rnacentral:sRNA from 1 species